rnacentral:lncRNA from 1 species
CAUUUUCGUUGGUAAAGCUCCUAUUUGCUUUCUCUGAAUCUGUAUCAGUUCAUGCAGUUCUGCCAAGUGGGGAAGCUUUGCAGGACACUGCCACUGUAGCACUUGAAAUAUUAAGAUGAACAGAACAAGCAAAAGGCAGUAAGUGGGCUUCUUGGUCACUUUCAGAGCCUUUCUUUAUGGUUCUCACUGUGGUCUUGCAGAAAGAGCUUGGAGGGGGAGGGUAGUUAAGACAGAAGAACAAAGCUGGGGGGUACGCUUUGGGCCCGAAACCGAGAGAAAAGUGAUCCUUUCAUUAAGACGAGUGUUCUUUUGUACCUGCACUGUAUCCUUUUGAUGUGUUGAGGUAGAAAGGAUAUGAGGAAAGAAGAAACAAUGAGAGUUGCUACUGUAUGAAUUCCUUCUCCUUAUACUUAAUCCUGUCCUUAUUGGGGCCUUGGGUGGAAAGCUGAUAAUUUUGGUGAGCCCUAAAAGGAAGGCAGUGGCUUGAAUUCCUGCCACCAUCCCCUUGAUAAUGAACAAGCCUAAUGAAUGUGGGGGUGGGAAAACUGGAAAGAUUGAAUGUCCUUUGGAGUUCACAGAGGUUUGGCAGUGGGAGGAGAAAAACAAAACGAAGCAUAGUGGGAGUGUUGAACAGACUUUCCCAAGAUCCCCAGGUCCUGAAAUUCAAGAAAAUAUUUGUCAAAGUAUUAGCUGAGUGCAAGCUAAGGUAUCAAAAUAGUGAAUACACACACCAAGGAAUAAUCUUUGCAAAAAUACUUUGUCUCAAGACAAAUAGAACACAGCAGACUUUAAUAAUCAAAACAGAAACACCAACAUAGAGAACCUAAGGAACGAAGAGAAUCUGAUUUCCAAAGUCACCACAUUAUAAAAAUCAAAUGCCAAUCUUCAACAACAACGAAAACAACAAAAUUCACAAGACACAUAAAGAAACAGGAAAAUGGCUCAUUCAAAGGAAUAAAGUGAUUAAUUGGCAUAAACUGUCCCUGAGAAAGCCCAGAUACUAAAGUGACUUGACAUUUGCUCAACUAGAUAAGAGUGAGUUUCGACAAAGAAGUAAAGGAAAUUUGGAACAUAAUAUUUUAUCUAAAGGAGAAUAUCAUCAAACAAAGAAAUUAUAUAAAAGAACCACACAAAAAUUCUGGAGCUGAAAAGUACAGCAACUGAAGUUUUUAAAAUUACUUGCAGAGAUCAACAACGGAUUUGCAGAUUAGUGAACUCGAAGAUAGGAAAAUUGAAAUUAUUGAGUCUGAGGAGCAGAAGAGAAAAAGGAAUGAAUAAAAGUGAAUAGAACCUAAGGAAACUGAGGGACACCAUCAAGCAGAUCAAGGAGAAGAGAGAGGUAAAAAAGAGUGGUAAGAUAAAUAAUAGCCAAAUACCUUCCAAAUAUGAAGAAAGACAUGAAUAUACAGAUAAAAUAAGCCCAGCAAUACCAAAUUGGAUAAACCCAAAAACAUCUACACCAAAGCACAUUAUAAUCAAAUUGUUGAAAGCCAAACAAUGACAGAAUCUUAAAAGCAAUAACAGCAAGGCAAUUCAACAAAAUAAAAGGGAUGUUCAAUACAAGUAUCAGCCAAUUUCUCAUCAGAAGCCUGGAGGCAAGAAGGCAGAGAAAUAAUAUAUUUAAAGUGCUGAAAAAAGCCAGGCACGGUGACUCAUGCCUGUAAUCCCUGCACUUUGGGAGUCUGAGAUGGGUGAAUCACUUGAGUCAGGAGUUUGAGACCAGCCUGGCAACCAUGGCAAAACUCUGUCUCUACUAAAGAUAGAAAAAUUAGUCGGGUGCAGUGGCAUGCACCUGUAGUCCCAGCUACUUGGGAGGCUGAGGCAGGAGAAUCACUUGAAUCUGGGAGGCAGAGGUUGCAGUGAGCUGAGAUCAUACCACUGCACUCCAGCCUGGGCAACAGAGUGAGACUCCAGAAAUCAACAAAGAGUAUUGCUUUCUUGCAAAUUGGCAGGAAGGUUUCCAGCAUAAUGAAAGAGUGCAGAAAAAACAAGUUAAUUCAAGGAUAAAACUGUGAAUAAGUAGAAGAGAAGACUACACCAGGAAAAGAGACGGAGAUAGAGGCCCAAUAGAGAUCAGUGGAGUGUUGCUGUUCUGGCCAUAAACCUCUGUGGACAGUGGCUCCUUUGCCAGGGUUUUGCUUGGGCCUACUGGGCUAGUUCUGCUCACUCAGCCUGCCAGGCUGUGCUCAGCACACACUACAUGCCUGGAUCCCAUGUCUGCCAAGGGCUAGUCAGGGGUGGAGCAGUGAGGGGUGUGUGAGUGAACAUGAAGUCUGGCCACUGCAGCUGGGUGGGCAGCUCCAGGUGCCGGCAUGGGCACCAGCUCUCUGUGAUGCUGUGGCUGAACCAGAUGCACUGCAAGCAGCUUCCACAGCUGGCACUGGAG